CCGAAUUGCCAAAUUGAAGCCCGAUUAGGGGUCAAAAAAAUUCCGAGACACCUCCAAUAAAUAGUAGACUAUGUCUACUUGCUAAUUGCACAAUCAAUUUGUCUAAUUCGCAUCACAAUUGGCUAAUAAACACUAACCCAUACUAAUCUAACCACCUAACCUAAUUAAUUAAAACUAAUCAAUCCUUAAACAUCAUUAGUCUACUAAGUAAGGAUUAGUGAGAUUACUCAUCGGAAUCGCGCGCAAAACAUAUCAAUCCGACGGGGACGACACAAGGAACGAUUCUUCCCAAAGCACGGCUUGGGUUUGGGGCCCAGAAACGGCCCAAAAAGGGGCUCGAACCAGCUGGAAACCCACUCGUGGGUUUACUGACCUAGCUGCAAAACAAGGGGAAAAUGAGAUGGUUGGGGGCAGCAAGGGGUCGGGAGUGCGAGCGGAGCUCCAAGGAGGGCCAAUGGAGGUCCGGCGGCUACAAACGAUGGCCG
rnacentral:lncRNA from 1 species